rnacentral:rRNA from 1 species
CCCUUAGAUGUUCUGGGCGGUCCGCGCACUACAAUGGCGUGUGCAGCGAGUGCCGAAGUAGAGUUUUCCGAGGUAUUCUUGCAAUGCUCGUUUUGAUGGGGAUAGACCCUUGCAACUGUUGGUUUUGAACGAGGAAUUCCUUGUAAGCAUGGUUUAUCAUCCGACGCUGAAUGCGUCCCUGCCCUUUGUACACACCGCCCGUCGCUCCUACCGAUGAGUCGUCCGGUGAAGUUCGUAGACCUCGUGAUCGCGGAUCACUGGGGGAAGCAAAAUGAACCUCGCGGUUUAGAGGAAGGAGAAGUCGUAACA